rnacentral:rRNA from 1 species
CCGCUGAACUUAAGCAUAUCAAUAAGCGGAGGAAAAGAAAAUAACAAUGAUUCCCUCAGUAACGGCGAGCGAAGAGGGAUAAGCUCAAAUUUUAAAUCUGUUGGGUUCCGCUUAACAGAGUUGUAUUUUGAAGAAACGUUUUCUGCAUCCAGGAUUAGCCUAAAUCCUUUGGGAUAAGGUAUCAUGGAGGGUGAGAAUCCCGUUCAUGGUUAAUCUUAAGGAAGCUCUACGAUACGUUUUCCAAGAGUCGAGUUGUUUGGGAAUGCAGCU